rnacentral:rRNA from 1 species
GAUGAACGCUAGCUACAGGCUUAACACAUGCAAGUCGAGGGACCGGCGCACGGGUGAGUACCACGUAUCCAACCUGCCCUUUACUCGGGGAUAGCCUUUCGAAAGAAAGAUUAAUACCCGAUGUCAAGGAUGGGGAUGCGUUCCCUUAGGUUGUUGGUGAGGUAACGGCUCACCAAGCCUUCGAUGGAUAGGGGUUCUGAGCGGAAGGGCCCCCACAUUGGAACUGCGACACGAGCCAAACUCCUACGGGAGGCAGCAGUGAGGAAUAUUGGUAAAUGGGCGUUAGCCUGAACCAGCCAAGUAGCGUGAAGGAUGAAGGCUUAUGGGUCGUAAACUUCUUUUAUAUAAGAAUAUGUAUUAUAUGAAUAAGGAUCGGCUAACUCCGUGCCAGCAGCCGCGGUAAUUC